rnacentral:sRNA from 1 species
GAGAAGGAUCCUGCAGCCCGAGUCCCGAGGAUAAAGCUUGGGGUUCAUCCUCCUUCCCUGGAUCACUCCACAGUCCUCAGGCUUCCCCAAUCCAGGGGACUCGGCGCCGGGACGCUGCUAUGGACGACAUUUUCACUCAGUGCCGGGAGGGCAACGCCGUCGCCGUUCGCCUGUGGCUGGACAACACGGAGAACGACCUCAACCAGGGGUGAGCCGAAACGGUUGGUGGAUGAGAGGAAGGCUAGAGAUCUGGCUACGUGGAGUGGAGUGCUCAUGUCUGGUGGUGGCGGCUGCCUUUGCUAGCCAGUGUAAUGAGUGCUAAGCAUAGCCUGUGGCGGGCAGAGGGUUUUCACAGAGGACGCAGUUUGAGCUGAAUCUUGACUGCAGAAUAAGAGUUUCACAGGCAGAGGCUACAGAGAGCUUUCCAGCCUCAGUAGACUGCAUGGCCAAAGGCUAGGGGGCAAGGCACAGAGCAGAGAGAACAGGAAAUUGUCUGGAGUUCCAUAUGGCUGGAGGAUAGAUGAUCUCUGUGGGUCGGAGCAUUGGGUACAAGAGGAAAAGAACAGGACAU